rnacentral:rRNA from 1 species
UACGUAGGUGGCAAGCGUUGUCCGGAUUUACUGGGCGUAAAGAGCGCGCAGGCGGUCGUUCAAGUCGCGUGUGAAAGCCCCCGGCUCAACUGGGGAGGGUCACGCGAUACUGAUCGACUCGAAGGCAGGAGAGGGUAGUGGAAUUCCCGGUGUAGUGGUGAAAUGCGUAGAUAUCGGGAGGAACACCAGUGGCGAAGGCGAUUUUCUGGACCAUAACUGACGCUGAGGCAUGAAAGCGUGGGGAGCAAACAGG